ACAGAAGAUUCCAGGGCUGAGGACUUCACCCCUCACACACAGGCUUCUCUAGCUCACUCUGAGAUGUGAUCCAGACAUUUCCAUGGGAACUUUCUGGGCUGUUCUGACUAUGGGGGUCUCAGCUGGAAGGAGCAGCCGUGGGUCACCCGCUGCAGCUAGCUCUAGCCUGGGAGCUGCCACCACUCUGUCCUAGGCCUCAGCUCCUGCGGAAUUUAUUGCUACCCGUUUUUGUUGGAUCUGACAACUACAGAAAGUUGGAGAAAGGAUUUUGAAUUUGUCCCAAGGAAAUAAUUCAAAAGAAGAAAAGCAUUACAGGCAAGAUGGUGUCCUGUGGUAUGACACUGAUCAGCAUCAACCUAGAAGUCUAAUAAUGAGAAUAAUCAACAAUUGCCCUGCAUUUCACAUUUCUUCCCUGUACCUUGCAAUUACCCUGGCAGCUGGGUAAGCACUUGGCCCAAGUUUAUAAAAUGAAGCAGAGCUAGACUUUGAACCUG
rnacentral:lncRNA from 1 species